AGAGUUUGAUCCUGGCUCAGGACGAACGCUGGCGGCGUGCUUAACACAUGCAAGUCGAGCGAUGAAACUACUUCGGUAGUCAAUUAGCGGCGAACGGGUGAGUAACACGUGAGCAACCUGCCCCUAACUCUGGGAUAACGCUUCGAAAGGAGUGCUAAUACCGGAUAUGAGCCUGGAAGACAUCUUCUGGGUUGGAAAGUUUUUCGGUUAGGGAUGGGCUCGCGGCCUAUCAGCUUGUUGGUGAGGUAAAGGCUCACCAAGGCGACGACGGGUAUCCGGCCUGAGAGGGCGACCGGACACACUGGGACUGAGACACGGCCCAGACUCCUACGGGAGGCAGCAGUGGGGAAUAUUGCGCAAUGGGCGAAAGCCUGACGCAGCGACGCCGCGUGAGGGAUGAAGGUCUUCGGAUUGUAAACCUCUUUCAGCAGGGACGAAGCGAAAGUGACGGUACCUGAAGAAGAAGCACCGGCUAACUAUGUGCCAGCAGCCGCGGUAAUACAUAGGGUGCAAGCGUUGUCCGGAAUUAUUGGGCGUAAAGAGCUCGUAGGUGGUUUGGUACGUCGGGUGUGAAAUUCAGGGGCUCAACCCCUGACCUGCAUUCGAUACGGUCAAGCUAGAGUUUGGUAGGGGAGACUGGAAUUCCUGGUGUAGCGGUGGAAUGCGCAGAUAUCAGGAGGAACACCGAUGGCGAAGGCAGGUCUCUGGGCCAAUACUGACACUGAGGAGCGAAAGCGUGGGGAGCGAACAGGAUUAGAUACC
rnacentral:rRNA from 1 species